rnacentral:rRNA from 1 species
GACGAACGCUGGCGGCGUGCUUAACACAUGCAAGUCGAACGAUGAAGCUGGAGCUUGCUCUGGUGGAUUAGUGGCGAACGGGUGAGUAACACGUGAGUAACCUGCCCUGGACUCUGGGAUAACCCCGAGAAAUCGGAGCUAAUACCGGAUAGGACCUCGGAUCGCAUGAUCUGGGGUGGAAAGUUUUUCGGUCUGGGAUGGACUCGCGGCCUAUCAGCUUGUUGGUGAGGUAAUGGCUCACCAAGGCGUCGACGGGUAGCCGGCCUGAGAGGGUGACCGGCCACACUGGGACUGAGACACGGCCCAGACUCCUACGGGAGGCAGCAGUGGGGAAUAUUGCACAAUGGGCGCAAGCCUGAUGCAGCAACGCCGCGUGCGGGAUGACGGCCUUCGGGUUGUAAACCGCUUUUAGUAAGGAAGAAGCCGCAAGGUGACGGUACUUGCAGAAAAAGGACCGGCUAACUACGUGCCAGCCGCCGCGGUAACAC